GGUGUGUGACACAAAAUAAUUCAUUCCAAUAAAUUUUGGACCCAAAAAUGGCAAGAAAAUCUAGAUAAACGAAAGAAGGAGUUUACUUUUUUCAUACGAGUAAGAGAUGAAGGAGAAAUAAAAAAGGAAAACAAAAGAUGAGGAAAAAAUAAGAGAAGAUUAACGAAAAUAAUGAAAUAAAGAACUUGAUUUUUUAAGCAAUUUCAAAUCAAAUUAAAAUUUGAGUUGAUUGAAGAUGAAGGAAAGAGAAGUUAAGGUUUUGAAAUUGGGAUAUAAGGGUUGGUUUUCUUAUUUAGGGAAAGCAUAUGACCGUUUUUAAAAAUAAAUUAAUUUCGGGUUACGUUAAGCAUUCAACACGUCUUGUUUGGGCAUGUUUACACACGCAGUAGUCUGAGCCACCAAAAAAGCAAAAUAAUACACUUUAAAGUUUAUAACGGGGGAAAAUAAUUAUCAGUUAAUUAAGUGGUAAAGUAAGUCGUGGUAACAAGUUUAGGGGG
rnacentral:lncRNA from 1 species